CUGAAGCAACUACAGCCCCUUAGGGCUCAGCUGGGAGGGAUUUAUUGGAGAAUUUCAAUCAUGGGGUCUUGGCUCAAACUUGUUGCUUCCUCAAAAAUCUCCCCAGAAGUUGGCUACAUGUGAAACUGAGGCAUGAAGGAAGGACUCGGAUGAUCUCACGGUUCGGAACUCCACCUGGGCCUGUCAGAGAAUUCAUAGACCCUCACUUGGAGGAAGAGAGCACAGAACAGCAAGAAAGAUGCAGGUUCCUGGGACGAUGUGGAGGCCCCCGCGCCCCACUUCGUUUGCUGUCUUUGGAGUGUUUUUCAUUAAUUUAGAAUCAGUCCAGGGGAAAUCUUGGACGCCUAAUGACAUAUUUCUGUCCAGGAAGAAAUUUGAACUCUGAAGCCGAACUUGAUUAAACCCCAAACCGAGAGACCUUGCCCAAUGGGACCACUCCAGGACUUUGACUUCUGGGUGUCAGAGCUUAAUUAAAAUAUUCAUCCAGCUGCUCUCCACUCGCCAAGGGGGCCCAGAGGAAUUAAACCAAUAAGCUUAAUUCUAUUAGUUCACCUGCCUGUGUACAUAGACAUGCGGAAGACCAUUUACUGAUUCAGAAAAAAAUCAUCAGACCCACCCUAUAAAUUCAGCGUGGGCAGCCAUCACUGCAACAGCAACACGGUCCCCCCAGCAAACGUAACACUCAGCAAUCUCGACUCCUGUCUCCGAACACACACAGCUAUUUUUAAGACUCUUCCAAGAAAACCAAAAUGCUAAACGGGUCAAUGUAAGGAUUGAUGUGCG
rnacentral:lncRNA from 1 species